rnacentral:rRNA from 1 species
GACUACAGGGGUAUCUAAUCCGGUUUGCUCCCCACACUUUCGCGCCUCAGCGUCAUUCUCUGUCCAGUAAGCUGCCUUCGCCAUUGGUGUUCCUUCUGGUAUCUACGCAUUCCACCGCUACACCAGAAAUUCCGCUUACCUCUCCAGGAAUCAAGUUUGGCAGUAUCCAACCCAUCCCAGGGGUUGAGCCCCUGUCUUUAAAGCCGGACUAGCCAAACCGCCUACACGCCCUUUACGCCCAGUGAUUCCGGGUAACGCUUGCACCCUCCGUAUUACCGCGGCUGCUGGCACGGAGUUAGCCGGUGCUAUUACCUGACUACCGUCAUAUUUUAAUUUUUCUUCGUCAGUUCAGAGGUUUACGAUCCUAAGACCUUCAUCCCUCACGCGGCGUUGCUCCAUCAGGCUUUCGCCCAUUGUGGAAGAUUCCUCACUGCAGCCCCCCGUAGG